rnacentral:lncRNA from 1 species
UGAGCGUCGAUCGAUGUUGAAACUUAGUUAUCGAUCGAUGGCGACUUCCUUUUCCAAGAGGAAUGACGUAGAACUCUAUCUUCCUCGUCAAGGGUUGCUCUUUGCUCUAUAGCUCGUUGUUCCUCGUAAUCUUCAUCAUACGCUUCUGUAUGCAUGGUGUUUGUUGCCAUAAGGGCAUGUAGUAGUCAUUUUCCCAAUCAUCUGGACAACUGUCGACCGAUUCUUCCUUCGGGGUGUCC